GGAUUUGCAAUCCUCUGCCUUACCACUUGGCCAUAUCGCCAUUUUUUUUUAUUAAAAAAAAAAAUUUAAUAAA
rnacentral:tRNA from 1 species